AUUGCACGCUGGCGGCAGGCCUAACACAUGCAAGUCGAGCGAGCGGCGGACGGGUGAGUAAUGUAUGGGGACUGCCCGAUAGAGGGGGAUAACUACUGGAAACGGUGGCUAAUACCGCAUACUAUCGGAUAACCCAUAUGGGAUUAGCUAGUUGGUGGGGUAAAGGCUCACCUAGGCGACGACCCCGAGCUGGUUUGCGAGGAUGAGCAGCCACAUUGGGACUGAGACACGGCCCAGAAUCCUACGGAGGCAGCAGUGGGGAAUAUUGGACAAUGGGCGCAAGCCUGAUGCAGCCAUGCCGCGUGUAUGAAGAAGGACUUGGGGGCGUAAAGUACUUUCAGCGGGGAGGCGUUACCCGCAGAAGAAGGACCGGCUAACUCCGUGCCAGCAGCCGCGGUAAUAC
rnacentral:rRNA from 1 species